CUUAAUACUUUUAUUUGCGGUCACCAAUUUGGUGUAAAAAAGGGAAUCAGGUGAAAAUCCUGAGCAGCACCCACUACUGUAAGCUGGACGAGAGUACGAUACCACUGUGAAAAUGGGAAGGUGUACUUAAGGAAGAUGGCAAGUCAGGAGACCUACCGUUAAUAAUACCAAUUC
rnacentral:ncRNA from 2 species